AUGGAGAGCUACCAGUUAGCAGACCUGUGUCGUACCAUGCCGGUAAUUGACAACUAUGGCAAUGCUGUCACGGAAAGGCAAAGCAUUCUAGUUCCUGCAAAUGGUAGCAAAUGGGUUGGACUGAUGGGCACAAACCCAUGGAGGAAUGAGAAAUACAUUGAACUGUCAGCAGAUUACAAGUCAGCAGGUCAUUUUGCCGGGAACUACACACCUGCAGAUCAGAUCUUGGAUUUUCUCAAGACAAAGAUGCAGGCCUCGGAUGUGCCAUUCAUACACCCUCCAAAUGCAAGUUUCCCGACAGCCUCAUCACCUCUGACUGUGGACAAUGCAAUCUUGCUACUGCAAUGGAUAAGAAAUUUAAAGUCAAAAGGUGUAUAA
rnacentral:rRNA from 1 species